CAACUUGUAUAUGGACUACCCAGGAGGUGCUGGAGUUGCUCAGACCUGCCUGUGUAAGCUGCGACCGUGGAUGAAGCAACCUUCUAUUAAUAACAGGAAUCAGAGCCACAGAGGUGACGCCUCCUGAAGUAUAGGAAGAGAAUUUCCUUUGCUUCUCACCAGCUCCUGCCCUUCACCUUCUGUCAGUGCCUCCCUUUGGCCAGUCUAUAUGAUUCCGGAAGGCGGGUUGCUAGGAAGCGCCAGUCACUUCCUAAGGCACAGGGCACGGCACCAGCAGGCAGGGGAUGGCUCUGAGCACGGCACCAGCAGGCAGGGGAUGGCUCUGAGCACGGCACCAGCAGGCAGGGGAUGGCUCUGAGCACGGCACCAGCAGGCAGGGGAUGGCUCUGAGCACGGCACCAGCAGGCAGGGGAUGGCUCUGAGCACGGCACCAGCAGGCAGGGGAUGGCUCUGAGCACGGCACCAGCAGGCAGGGGAUGGCUCUGAGCACGGCACCAGCAGGCAGGGGAUGGCUCUGAGCACGGCACCAGCAGGCAGGGGAUGGCUCUGAGCACGGCACCAGCAGGCAGGGGAUGGCUCUGAGCACGGCACCAGCAGGCAGGGGAUGGCUCUGAGCACGGCACCAGCAGGCAGGGGAUGGCUCUGAGCACGGCACCAGCAGGCAGGGGAUGGCUCUGAGCACGGCACCAGCAGGAGCGAAGAGUGUGCCCAAACUUGAAAACGUUGAUUGUCACAACCCAGUCUCCAAUUCCAAGCUUCCAAAUGAGUUGACAAGAAAAAGUGGCACUCUUUUCUCCCCAAGGAGACUUUAUGAAAUAGUGGUGUUGCCAUAAAGAGGCCUCCAAGUCUCUGAAGAAACAGAUCGGACCAGGGGUUCACCUGUAGAUGUCUAGUCUCCAUGGGGAAAAGCAAGUCAUCACCAGCGUCUGACUAUCUGCACCCCAGGCUGAGAGCUGGUGCAAAUCCUCUACAAUACCCAAUGCCAUCAUUAUCUCUGAAAUAGACUGUGAAGUCAGCACCCAUCCCGCCCCACACUCACCUCCUUCCUCCACUUACAAAUAUCUCCAACUGCUUUGUCUCAACUCAUGAACUUAAGAGGAAAGUUAGAUUUUAAAAAGAAGCAUCCACAAAUCUGAAGUCUUACAUCUGCUGUUGAGCUCCACUGAGCAUGAAUUACCUUCUCCAUUUCUGCAGCCCUGUGCUUCAGCUUUUCCUAUGACUCCCAUUAGAAUCCAUCCUAAAGAUAUUAUUUGACUGUCUGCUCAUCUACCUGGCCCUACAUGGAGCUUCUGGAGAGAAAGAUCCAAGGCGGGUCCCUGUUUGUAUCUCACCCAUUCAACCCUCACCUACACUGAAAACAUGACACUUGUCCCUUCCUGCAGUAUGUGUUCGGAGUUUGCUUACUGUAUCUGACAGGUGUGGUGCACCAAAUUCUCAACACACGCUGCCAGAACUAACACCCCCUGGAUCCCUAGGGGAUCCGUUAUAAUUGCAUUUGCACGAAGCAGCAGCCAGGAGACAUCAUGGCGACUUCAGCUCCCAGUUGAGUAGUCACUGACUUACUUAGCUCCCAAUUGAAUAGUAAACCAAAUACAACCCAUCGUUUGGAAUUCUUAACAUUUAAGUCUAACAGUUGUCUUUUUUUUCUUUUUAGCAUUUUUCCCUCUAAACAUUGAAUCUAUAUCCAGGGGUUAUUAUCUGGCCCCUGGACUGCCCUGAAUGCUCCAGAGUCAAGAGUAACUUGAGGUCUUAAAUGUCUAUUCCGAAGCCCCUCUUUGUACAGGGAUAGGCGUUGACUAGGAGGAGAUGCCACUCUAUGAAAUCUAUCAUCCCAGGUCUCUGAUGAAGUAAAAUUAAACACCUUCUUUACUCAUAAAUUUGUUAGUUUUUAG
rnacentral:lncRNA from 1 species